rnacentral:rRNA from 1 species
UACGUAGGGUGCGAGCGUUAAUCGGAAUUACUGGGCGUAAAGCGUGCGCAGGCGGUUUUGUAAGCCAGAUGUGAAAGCCCCGGGCUUAACCUGGGAAUGGCAUUUGGGACUGCAAGGCUGGAGUGUGGCAGAGGAGACUGGAAUUCCUGGUGUAGCAGUGGAAUGCGUAGAUAUCGGAAGGAACACCAGUGGCGAAAGCGGCUUCCUGGUCCAGCACCGACGUUCAGGCACGAAAGCGUGGGGAGCAAACAGG